GUUGAACAUUUCUUUAGGUGUUUCUCAGCCAUUUGGCAUUCCUCAGCAGUGAAUUCUUUGUUUAACUCUGUACCCCAUUUUUUAUUUAUUUGGUUGGUUUUUGUUUUGGUUUGGAUUUUUUUUUUUAAGGCAGGAUCUCACUAUAUAGCACUGGCUAUUCUGGAACUUGCUGUAUAUCUGUCUACCUGCUUUUCCUCCAUAGUUCUAAGACUAAAGUGUGUGCCACCAUACUCAGAAGUGAUGUCUUUUCUAACAUUUUUUCUCUCUUUCAAUCUAAGCUUAUUGCAGAAGAAUUUUGUCUGAAAACAGUUUCAAAGUUUGGACCACAGCCUAUCCCAGGUAAAAGACCAGCAUCAGGACAAGGUGUCAGUUCUUUUGUCCCUGCUCAGAAAAUCACAAAGCCUUCUGCUAAAUAUGGAGUGCCUAUAACAUAUAAGAAGUACGGAGAUAAAAAGUUACUUGAAAAAAAACCACCCCCAAAGCAUAAGCAGGCCCAUCAGAUUCCAGUGAAGAAAAUGAAUUCUGGAGAAGAAAGGAAGAAAAUGUCUGAGGAAGCAGCAAAAAAACGAAGGUUGGAAUUUAUUGAGAAAGAAAAGAAGCAAAAGGAUCAGAUCAGGUUCCUGAAGGCUGAGCAGCUGAAGAGGCAAGAGAAGCAGCGGGCUUCCUUUUUUGGCAGUGGAGGAGCUGUGUCUCCAUCACCUUGUUCUCCUCGGGGCCAGUAUGAACAUUACCAUGCCAUCUUUGACCAAAUGCAGCAGCUAAGAGCAGAAGAUAAUGAAGCGAGAUGGAAAGGGAGAAUAUAUGGUCGAUGGCUCCCUGAAAGGUGUGUGUGCUCUGCUGAGGUGGCCUAGGCUUUGCUUCAGAGAACCUCAUGAAUCACUGUGGCUGUUUAUCUACAGAGGACUUCCACCUGGCGUUCGUCCAGGAUUUCCCAGUGGGGCUUCAGGUCACCACCAUUCCCCCGAUGCUGAUGCUAUUAGGAAAACUUUGAAAAGAUUAAAGGCCGUGCAAAUAAGCCAGUGCAAACAGGUUGGACUGUGACAACCCAUGCAUUCAUCCUGUGUGCUUCUGUCGUUUGUCAUAUCUACACUUGUAGAUGGUUUUCCCAAUGUUUACAUGGGACAUUUUCUGCUGUGUGGAUAUAAUGUAUCUUCACGUGCAAAUUUGACCCUUGAUCACACUAUGACAAAUGUAUAGUUCUUCCUCAAUUGAGCUAGUGUGGCUUAUUUUAACGUUUAGACAGAUCAUAUUGUUUAAAGGAUCGUGUGAUAACUUUCUGCAACAUAUGGUUGUAAUAAUUUCAUCUAUUUGAUUUGAAUAAAUCAUAGCAUGGACUUUAGUAGAAUCACACUGUCCAUGAAGCUCCAGAGCACGUUCCUCUCUUGUUUUUACCUCAGCCCCACUUUUCCUCUUGGUUCUCCUAAAACGCCUCCUCUUCACAUGACCUCUGGUUCGUAUCUCUUUGUAACCCUUUCCCCAGAUUUUUUCACUGAGUUAACUUGAUGAUAAUUGACAAUAUCAGCACCUGUGGAGACUUAUUUCUUUAGGUAUGCGUAUGUGUUUGCCCAGAUAUUCUCGGUCGUUACAGGGAACACUAGGACAUUUUAGUGAAUUUUUCCUGUAAUUUUAAAUUAUUAUGAAAAUCUUUGAUUUGUUUAUAAUUAUACAAUAAAUAUAAAUAUAAAUACAUUGAGGAUAUUUUACACAAAUAAUUGUUUUGGAGGGGAUGUAGCACAAUGGUAGAGGACUUACCUACAAUACAGGGCUCUAUGUUUACUCCAUAAAACUGGGAGAAAGGCCAUAAAAAUAAAUGUAAAAUAACACUGUGAUUGCAUUAUAAAUUGUUAGCAGAAGCCUGAGGUAUGGAACUGUAGGUUCCCUUUUUUUUUUUUUUUUUUUUUGAAAAAUAAAGACUAUAAACUCAGAUUUAUGUUUAAAAUAAUUUUAGGUUUGCAGUAAUACUGGGUAAAAGUCCGAAGUAUACUUUUUUUCUACAUAUGUCCAACAUCUAUUUCAGUACCCUUACCACAGUGAAAACAUUAUCACAAUUUAAAGUCUACAGUUCCCAUGUGAAAUCAUUCUUGAUAGUUUCUGAGAAACCAUCGGACACCUCCAAGCUUGCUCUCCCAUUUUGUAUUCCCACCAGCAGUGAGUGAGAGUUGUGUCCCUUCAUUCCCUCCAGCAUUUAGUAUCGGGGGCCAUUUUACUUGGUGUGUGAAGAUACCUCAUUUUAGUCACAAUGACCUUGCGAUGUUGACCAUCCUUUCCUGUACUAUUGGCCAUCUGUAAAUCCAUUUUGGUGAGUUUUCUCUAUGUCUCUUGUCUUUUUUAUUGUUGUUGUUUUCACUUUUAGUUUGUUUUUUUGAGACAAGAUUUCUCUAUGUAGCCGUGGCUGUCCUGGUAUUUGCCCUGUAUACCAGGCUGGCCUCAAACUCAAAGAUCUGCCUGCCUCUGGCAUUAAAGCCAUGCACCACCACAACACAGUGUUUAUGCCUACUUUUUAAUUGUGUUGUUAUUUUUGUUGUUGAGAUUUUUAUUCCUUGUAAUUUGAGAUAAUAGUUAUUUACUAGUUGUGCCUGUAACCACUCCAGACUGGAAAUUAAAUCCCGGGUCUAAGUGAGGCACACUGGGCACUUUAUCACUGACCUACACCCACACUUCUGAUGCCAGGCAUAUAUAUUUCCCAGAGUGUGAGUCGUGUUCUUAUGCCCUUGAUAGAUCAAGAGUAGACAGUUGUCAUUUUAACGUAGGAUGUCUUUGGUGUCCUUAAUAAUAAAACAUGGCUAUUGCCUUGCAAGACGAUGCAGCAUGUAAAGAUGCCUGUCACUGAGCCUUUGAACCUGUGUUUGACCCCCAGGACUCACAGGGUAGAAAGAGACAGACUCCUGAAAGAUACCCUCUGACCUGCACACAUGGCUGUUGUGUACACACACACACACACACACACACACACACACACACACAUAGAUAAAUUAAUUUAUUUUUUACUAAGUUGAAAUCGUGC
rnacentral:lncRNA from 1 species